rnacentral:tRNA from 1 species
GUGUAGCUCAAGUGGUAGAGUACAUGUUUAGCAUGCAUGAGGUCAUGGGUUCAAUCCCCAACAC